GACGAACCGUGCGAACGUUGUUCGGAAUCGAUCUGGGCUUAAAGGGGCGCGAGUAGGCGGGUCUUGCCAAAGUCAGGGGUGGAAAUACUUUCGGCCUUAACCGGAAAAGUGGCCUUUGGAUACUGGCGGAGCAUUGAGGGGAGGUAGGGGACAGAUCGGAACUGGUGGUGGAGCGGUGAAAUGUGUAGAUAGUCACUAGGAACGCCGGUGGCGAAAGCGAUCUGCUGGACCUCUACUGACGCGUGAGGCGAGCGAAAGCCAGGGGGAGCAAACGGGG
rnacentral:rRNA from 1 species